rnacentral:rRNA from 1 species
UACGGGAGGUGCGAGCGUUACUCGGAAUCACUGGGCUUAAAGGGCGCGUAGGCGGCCUGCUAAGUCGAACGUGAAAUCCCUGGGCUCAACCCAGGAACUGCGUCCGAUACUGGUUGGCUUGAAUCCGGGAGAGGGAUGUGGAAUUCCAGGUGUAGCGGUGAAAUGCGUAGAUAUCUGGAGGAACACCGGUGGCGAAGGCGACAUCCUGGACCGGCAUUGACGCUGAGGCGCGAAAGCCAGGGGAGCAAGCGGG